UGAGCAAAAAUUUAAAUGCACCAUGUGACACCUUAAAUUUUAACAGCAUUUGCUGUUGCACAAUAUAUUCAAUAGCACACAAUGUAUUUUGUUGAUCAGUGUGUUACAGAUUACUGUCCAUUAGAACAUGAUAGUGGCGUGUGGCAUUCAGGGACAUUCAUGUGGACACGGUGGGGGCCAGUUGAAAGAAAUCACAACUCCAUAUCUUGUGUGCCCACCAUUGGCUUCCCGUAGAGAGACACAUCGUCUUCUCAUGGAGUUGACAAUAUUCUCAUUUGUGACCUGUGGCAUGUUAUUCCACUCCUCUUUGAGGGCGACACGGAGCUGUGGGAUGUUAUCCGGAACCGUUCUCACAUGAUUUGCGACAUCUGUGUCAUGGUGAUCAUCUAAGGAACUGUGACAUUUUGAGGUGUCCUUUUAUUGUCCCCAGUAUAAGGAGUGUCUGAAUACUGUUACAGGGCUGUGUCUG